rnacentral:rRNA from 1 species
CAACGGGUGAGUAACACGUGGGCAACCUGCCCAAAAGAGGGGGAUAACACUUGGAAACAGGUGCUAAUACCGCAUAGCCAUAGUUACCGCAUGGUAACUAUGUAAAAGGUGGCUAUGCUACCGCUUUUGGAUGGGCCCGCGACGCAUUAGCUAGUUGGUGGGGUAAAGGCUUACCAAGGCAAUGAUGCGUAGCCGAACUGAGAGGUUGACCGGCCACAUUGGGACUGAGACACGGCCCAAACUCCUACGGGAGGCAGCAG